UACGAAGGGGGCUAGCGUUGCUCGGAAUCACUGGGCGUAAAGGGUGCGUAGGCGGGUCUUUAAGUCAGGGGUGAAAUCCUGGAGCUCAACUCCAGAACUGCCUUCGAUACUGAAGAUCUUGAGUUCGGGAGAGGUGAGUGGAACUGCGAGUGUAGAGGUGAAAUUCGUAGAUAUUCGCAAGAACACCAGUGGCGAAGGCGGCUCACUGGCCCGAUACUGACGCUGAGGCACGAGAGCGUGGGGAGCAAACAGG
rnacentral:rRNA from 1 species